AGUUAAAAAGCUUUAUAAAAGCAUAUAUUUUGAAAAUAUAAGAAGAAGGUUUAAUCCCUUCAUUAACUU
rnacentral:tRNA from 1 species